UACGUAGGGUGCGAGCGUUAAUCGGAAUUACUGGGCGUAAAGCGUGCGCAGGCGGUUCGUUAAGUCAGCUGUGAAAGCCCCGGGCUCAACCUGGGAAUGGCGGUUGAAACUGGCGAACUUGAAUCUGGCAGAGGGGGGUGGAAUUCCACGUGUAGCAGUGAAAUGCGUAGAGAUGUGGAGGAACACCGAUGGCGAAGGCAGCCCCCUGGGCUGAGAUUGACGCUCAGGCACGAAAGCGUGGGGAGCAAACAGGA
rnacentral:rRNA from 1 species